CCUCAGCGUGCCGUGCCCCAGAAACCGUUGCUGGCCCGGGGGAAAACAAACUGGCGCAACCGCUUCGGCAUCGGGCAACAGUAAAGCGGAGGCUGUGGUGAGACGAGGAGGGCCCCUCAUUACGCAGUUCCAGCAGAGGCCGAACAGAGGAAAUCCCAGCAGCGGGAGUGGAGCCGCGUGACGCUUCUGAGUCCGAGCUUCUGCGGGGUCGCAGUGAGGACGGCGGGCCCCGGCCCUCUGCAGACAGCCCUCGUGGGAGCCGGGGCGGAGGCGUGGACGCCGGCAGCCGUCCGUGUGAGGCGGUGCAGCCAGGCCCUCGCUCUGCCACAGGUACUGUUUGAACACCUGCUAGGUGCCAGGCUCUGCUCUAAGCGCUGAGGAUCCCAUAGUGAACUUUUCAAAGAGACAGGUGUCUGCAGUGGCGGAGCUCACAUCAUCGUGGAAGGAGACAGAAGAUUAAAAAGAAGCGAGUAACAUACAUACAGCAACAUGUCAACGGCAAUAAAUGCUAAGGAGAAAUAAAUGGAGAAGAGAAUUAGGGGUGACAACAGAGGAGGGAUAGGGUUGAUAUCUAGAUUUAACUUCGUUUUCUAACAGUAAAUCCAGAGUUGGGGCGGAGCCGAGAGAAAACGUGGCCCUCGUGCUCAUGACUGGCCUCUGUCAGUGGAACAGUGCCCUUGGGACCAAGAUAUUCACAGGGUCAUUUGUGAGGAGCUCCGCCCUAAGUCCCUCGUCCUCACCAAGCAACGGUCCUUCCACACAGCAAACUCCAGAAGCAAGCAGAGAUCUCUGGAAAAUGUGGAUGCGUCCAAGGCUGAAGUUACCAAAAUAUUUUAUCAGUUCUGCCUCAGACUUGACAUCAGAUGAUGAUCAUUAGUAAUAAUAUAAUUAUUGGACAAAAAAACUUAUUUCUCAAAACUGAUUUUAGAAGUCUUCCCUGAAAAAUCAGGAAAGCAGUAGGAUCAGAAAAUAGACCUGACCAGGCCUCGGCAAGUUGAGACUGGCAGGACCACAUCCCUUCACUUCCAGGAGGACCGCCUCUAAGUGAUGGCUGCCAGAACAAGAGGUUGCUUGCUAUUCCCAAAUUUUUCCAGGAGAUGGCAGCACAGCCUUAAAAGAAAGAGACCUGCCAGAAACAAAUGCGCCUCAGUAGUGCUGCAGCUCCCAGACUGAGGUCAAGAUAUUUAACGAAGUGGAAGGUUGCUAAAAAAUCGUAUAAAAAUAUGAUUGUGUUCUGUUUCUGUGUUUCACCCAAUUUUUGAUUACACAGGCUUCAUAGUGGAUUGUAUGUCACCAGUUUAACUUUAGCACUGUGGUGCCCACGUUGGUUCCUCAUCACAUCCUCUGUGACUCCACCGUCCCCUCUGUGUCUGAAUGUACCCAGAAUUUCUCAAACUAAGACACAGCAAUCCUAAACAUAAGUAAAUUUAUUUCACCUGAGGAAAAGUGAACAGGUAUGACAUAGACCUAAGCAGUCUUUGUGACUCAGGGCUCAUGAUGCAAGCUUGGAAACCUCCCCUUGGGAUAAAAUAAAGAGUGGAAACAAGGACAGUUCUCUCAGGUCUAUAAGGCCUCACUCGUUAGAAUUUGUAUUGUUGGAAUCAUUCCAUUUGGGGAAAACUAGUAGAAUGAAACACAAAAUCCACAUUAUGAGCCAUCCCCUAACCCAUACCCACGCCCUGGAACUUGGUGUUCGACAGGGUGCUGAGCCUAUUGCCUUAAUCUGAGGAUGUGAACUUGCUCAGCCUGCUUCAAGCAGGCGAUGAGUCAGUGUUUUUGUAGCAGAAAGAGGACUAAACUGGGAGAUGAGCUACACCGCUUAGAAUCCUGGUUCCUUCGGUGACUAAGACAGCUGACCUCCAGAAAGUCACCGAAUGCCUCUGAGCCUCAGUUUUCUCAUCUGAGGAUAUUGCUACCAACACCUGCCACACGAGGUGUGGAUCAGAAGAGAUCAUGUGAGAGCCCAUGGAACUCUUUAAACCACUGGAAUAGUUGAAGCUAAUAUAAGGAGUCAGAGGAUUCGCUCAGGAGAAGGCCGAGCAAAUCUUCAUGAUGCCAGACCAAGCCUGAAAAACAAAACAAGUAAUGGGUGAUCACUGGGGAUAAGUCAGCCCUGGCUCUAUCGUGGAAGUGCAGAAAGAUUCUCUCUCCCCCAGCCUUUCCUGAUCACCCCUAAUUCAAGCUAAUCACUCCUUCCUUCAAACUCCCAAUCGUAGUUUGUUUUUUUAUGCCUCUCUGUGGGUCCUUCCCAAUUUCCAUGUUUCCGUAUAGUUAUUUGUGCCGCUCCUCUAUUCUUCUGUGCCCUUCCUGAGGACAGGGGUAGAGUCUCGCCCAUCUCAGGAUCCCUGUGCCAUCUAGCAAGGUGUAAAACAAUAAGCAUGCAAUGCCCUGGGAGACCCCCCCUCUCCUGAGCUGUCUCAUGUCAUUUUGUCCUGACAUUCAGGCGGCCUCACUGGUGAUCACUGUAUGAAAAGGUUGGAAGCUGAAGAGAUACAUGCCAUAACUCAGCCCCCAAAAAAGAGAGACACUUAAAGUUGUUUCUAGAUACUGAUCCCACAGCCUGCCUUCUUGUCUAUGGGUAAUUUGCAAUGUUCCUUCUAGUGCUGUCUUCCUUAUUUCCCAGGAAAUAGUUCAAUAAACUCAGUCACCUUGAGUGAUAAAAUUUUA